AGCAGCCGCGGUAAUUCCAGCUCCAAUAGCGUAUAUUAAAGUUGUUGCAGUUAAAAAGCUCGUAGUUGAAUUUCGGGAUCAAUUUGCUGGUCGUGCCUCUGGUACGUACUGGUAUUAUUGGUUUCUCCCUUCUGACGAACCAUGAUGUCAUUAAUUUGAUGUCGUGGAGAAUCAGGACUGUUACUUUGAAAAAUUAGAGUGUUUAAAGCAGGCAUUAGCUUGAAUACAUUAGCAUGGAAUAAUGAAAUAGGACGUUUGAUCCUAUUUUGUUGGUUUCUAGGAUUGACGUAAUGAUUAAUAGGGAUAGUUGGGGGCAUUAGUAUUCAAUUGUCAGAGGUGAAAUUCUUGGAUUUAUUGAAGACUAACUACUGCGAAAGCAAUUUGCCAAGGAUGUUUUCAUUAAUCAAGAACGAAAGUUAGGGGAUCGAAGACGAUCAGAUACCGUCGUAGUCUUAACCAUAAACUAUGCCGACUAGGGAUCGGAUGAUGUUAAUUUUAAUGACUCAUUC
rnacentral:misc_RNA from 1 species